ensembl:lncRNA
CUGGCAGCAGGUGUGGUGCAUCGUAAUCAGCAGAUGAGCUGCAGGUGGAGCUGAGUGAUUGGUCUCUGAACGUCUCUAUAAAAGCAGAUGGCACCAGUCACUUGAAGCUGGACCGUCGUCUAAUCUCCACUUAGUGCUGGGAGUAGAACUGUCUUUGCCACCAGCCUAGAAUUGCCAGUAAUUCUGUUUUCUGUGUUUAGAAAGCUGAUUCCUGCCUGCUGAGUUGCCUGGGUUCCUUCGUCCACUGGUUUUCCACCCAACCACGGAUUCUUAAUUGCAAUUGCAAUAACUGAAUUGUAUUUCUCCCUCCCCCCAUUGAAACAAUAAAAAUUUGUUUUUUUCAAAGGAUUUUCAGAUCAUUUGUCAUCUAAUCUCCAGUACCUAAAUCAAUGUUUUCCAUUUCCCUGAGAUUAGCUGCAGUACAUGGUUGCACCACCAGGUGGAGCCUCUUACUAUGAAGGUAGUUGGAGUUCAGGUGUGUUUGCUGACCGCUGUAAGAGCCCUGGAAGCAAACACACCUCCCUGUGUCUAACUGUUCACUGUGCAGCAAUAAGUUGUGAUAACGAUGCCUGGUUUAACGAGCUCCCUUUAAAAUAAUGCUGAUGCUAAAGUAGGUUUGUCAAAUGCUAACAGACUAGUUUGAAUUUAUGGCUGUUAAGCUAAUCCUUGCAGUUUGGAUUUUUUUUUUUUUUUUUUUUUUUUUGAGUUAAACUUCCUUUUGUUUUUCCAAACCUCAAAUGUCCUUCAAAUAUAACAGCUUGUUCACACAACUAACAUUAAGCUGUAGUGGUGAAGAUGUUUGCCAUUCACUCAUCCAGCAGACAUUUUCUUGCUCCAGUAUACUCCUAAAUCCUUCAUCAUGUUGACCAAAUAGUCACUGAUUUGUCUGUUUUUGCUACAACAGCUGGACUGAGGCUGGAAAAGAGUGAAACCAGUUAAGCUUUGGUUCAUAAAACCAAAACAGCUUACUGACAGGUCCUAAAACACUCCAUAGAGCUGUGGUUU